UUGCUUUAUAUUUGAGACUUGAACAAUGCACCAGACAUUCCUCCAUGCCAAUUCCCAUUUUAGACAUGUAAGCACCAAUAAGAACAGUAACUGCUAAGAGAAGAGAAUUAAAAGCAAGCAAAAUCUUUUUAUAUAUCCUAGAACACCAGUAUAAGAUACAAGUGACAUGACAAAGAUCGGAUAUGUUCCAGUCUGAAAUUAGUGCUUGUAAAUUGCCAAUUUACUACUAAAACCACGCUUCUUCCUUCCCCAUUAUUUAUGGCCAGAAGUGAACCGGUUUAAGCUUAAUUUAUAUCUGGUGGCUCAGCUGAAUGCCAUUAUCAAGUUCUGAUCCUCAUUAGCUGCAGAAACUGGCCUUCUCAGCUAGAAUACUUUUAUGCACCCUGAAGACAUAAGCAGUACUCACCAGUCUCCAGACCAAGAACAUCUAGUCCCCAAAGAUACAGAACUCAUAUCACCACCAAGUGGUGAUAUGGCAACAAGUAAUACUACACAUUCUUAUAACUACACACCAUCAAUAAAAAGGGGGAGAAAAAAAGAGAACCCAAGUGAAGUGUCAAGCUUCUGUUAUGUAUCGGCUGCCUGUAGAUAAGGUUAAGUAGUCUAUUAACAGUUAGGAUUGACGAAGUUUCUAAUCUCCUCCAUGAGGCAAUAGAAAUGAUCGUUAUUUGGUAAAAAGUAAAACCCUAUCGUGGCUUGAUUUAGAUAAAGAAGUUUCACUUCAUGGCCAGCUCUCUUUAACCCUUCGACAUAAGCCAAUUGCCAGUCUUGAACAAGAUCCAAACCAGCAACAACAACUAAACUUUUAGGGAACUUGAGUUCUGCGAGGUUUUUCCCCCUAGGGCCAAAGAUAUUACAUGCUGGAUGAUCUCUAUCUUCCCCUUCGGGUAGAUAUGCUCUCCAAUACCAGUCCCGGUCUUGAAUAGUGACAAAAUACUUACCAUCUAAUCUCUUCUCUGAUUCAGUUCUCUCUUGCCCACCAAACAUUGGGUGAAGAAUGAUAUUACCCAAAACUUCAAUUUCUGCUUCUGCUGCCCUCACUGCAACAUGGUGAGCUAUAUUUCCACCUGAACUAUCCCCAGCCAAGUAUACAUGGACCUUGGAAUCCUCUCCACUUUGAAGCCAAGUUCUUGAUUUAACCCACUUAAGAGCUGCCCAACCAUCAUCAUAUGCACAUGGGUACCGGUACUCAGGUGACCGCCGAUAAUUAACAGACACCACAACAGCCUUGCAAACGCUCACAAGGCGGCGACAGAAGGUGUCAUAGAUAGCACUAUUGGCAGAGGAGUGAGUGAAGCUUCCACCGUGGAAGAAGAUUAUAACUGGGACAAUCUCAGUGCUGCUCAAAGGCUUUUCAAGCUCUACAAUGCCCCAUUGAACCUCAUUUUCAGGGGCAGGUUGGUAAACCCGGUUAAGGAGGCCUGUGGUUCGAUCGACGUAAUCAAAGGAGAAAACCCCGUCAACUGGAAUGGUGUUGGCAUUCACUUUACGUUCAAGGAACUCCGCCAAAUCACGGUUAAAGGUCCCGUCGGGGCGGCGAAGGAGAUUAUAUGCAAGCUUGAAAUUAGAGAUGAGGACCCAUGUGUUCAGCGGAACUACCCUCUACAAGAAGAAGAGAGGGAUUUAGCAAUUAGAUGCCAAAAGUUCACAAAAUCUUUUGACUUUAUAAUGAGAGCUAGAUUGAUCAUAUAAAUCUUGAAAAGCAGAGCAGAUAGCGUAUGAAAUUUUGUUAUGCGCCCAAAACAGCAAAAGAAAAGUAAAAUAAACCCUGAAAAAGCCAAACACCUGCUAGAAAUUGUUGAAUGAGGAACGUAAAAUCAAAUCCUACAAAUGAAAAUAAUAGAGACGGCCUAAUAAUACAAAUUCCAAUUACCUUCAAAUUUUGAAGUAUGAGAUGGUAACCCAACAUCGAAAUAGCAGGGAAAAAGAACAUAAAAAAACAAAAAUCCCAUGAAACAUACAGUCAUAAUAGCAAGAAAUUGAAAGCAAUAGCAAAAGCAGCUCGAGAAAUGACAAAUUCUUCAAACCAAAUCCAAGCAGGAAGUCCAUACUUAUGUCAUAAUCUAAGUCAAAUUUCUGGCUUUCUGAUUUUCGAAAACAUAAGGCCCAAACCAAGUGCUAAAGAAAUAGACAAAGAUUUCAUAGAAAUUUGUUGAACCCUUCAAGCAAAAGCAAUCUUUAUAAGCUUCAAAAGAACGAGAGGAGACAAGGGAAUCAAAGAGCAACGUAGAAAUGAAGAGGAGGGAAUACCUUGGAUUCAUUUUGCUUGACUUCAUUACUACCAGCCAUGAGAAUGGCUCUGUACAGCAAGAGUUAAGAAUGGCUUUGUACAGCAAGAUUUAAGAAGGGCUAAGAAAUAAAAAUAAGCGAGAAUCCAGCAGCAGAAAUGAUCUUCAGAUAAAACGUGUCAUUCAUUUAUUUUUGAUUCAGUGAACAAGUAUGAUAAUCCCAGAAAACACUUGCAUCCGUGCAUUCCUCUCUCUCUCUCUCUGGAUAUGAGAUUCUGCAGAGCUAUUUUACGUAUGCAAGCAGGAGAUGUCUUUUUUAUUCCCCCUUUAUCUCUUCUCUCUCUAUCGCGUUGAUUGAUUCCUCGUUAGAGUUCUGAACAAGCAUGGAAGAGACACUUGUCUCUGAAAUAAGGGAACAGUGAGUUUGAGAGAUAUAGGCAGAGAGAGAAAUCGAAGACAGAUAUAUCUUCUAGAGAGAGAGAGAAACAACAAGUACAGAGAGAGAGAGAGAGAGAGA
rnacentral:misc_RNA from 1 species